rnacentral:tRNA from 1 species
GGAGUUGUAGCUCAGCGGCAGAGCGCUUGCCUUGUACACAUGAGGCACUGCGUUUGAUUCCAGCACCA